UUCCUUUCCUCACAUUUUGAAGAUCCAAGCAGAAUGGAUCUAUUAUUAGUAGCAUCGUCACCUUCAAAUCCAAUGUUUUUUGAGGCCACUCCUGUGUUUGUCUCUUCCAAACUAAUCUGUUUUUAACAGUAGAUCAUUACUAUUUUACCUACUUGAUGCUUAAUGCUUGUAUUUCUUAAUUUUUCCUAGGAGAAUGGGAAUUACAUCUAGAGCUACAGUUUGUGAUUUAAGGAUCUGCUAGGCAUGUCAUGGCAAGUAAAUUUACUUGGCAAUUGCCAUGCUCCUGCAUAAAUCAUGUUCUGUUGCAGCACCUGGCAUUUAGGUACCUUUGAUUCAUGGAUGUACGAUAGGCCUGAAGCUUGAGCAGUUCAUAUUCGACAUAUCCAUUUAAUCCCUGUGCAUGACACUUUUUGAGGUGCUACACGAAGAGGAAUUUGCGCCAGUGAAGAACGCGAAUGGCACAACCUAUGACAUCUGAUGCUACUCCAACUACAUAGCGGAUGGGUAAUUUCUCACCAUUUCCUGUACCCAGAAACUUGUAGAAUUAAAUUACAAGUCAGGCCUUUCAACAUAGAACUUUUAUGAUCAUCUUUCUCAUGAUCCCUUUCCAUCAUAAGCUUCGAGGUUUCUCCUGGAGAAAGCCUUGAGACAAUUUUUCACGGGCGAGGAUUCCACAUGCCCGGUGAGAUUUCGCUAUAGGCGUAUCAUGUCAUGGCAGCAACAACAUCAAAUGGGAGAUGCAAUGUUGCAUAGGGAUUGCAAGGCCGAAACCUUGGGAUACAUUGGGUUUCGACUUACAUGUUACAGGAUAUGCGUAGACGUAAGUUUGACUUUCAGAUAAUACAUGCCAAACACUUUUAAAGUUGUGUCGUGCAUGACAGUGGAAACAUCUGUGUAUUGCACAGGAUCCUACAGAGCAGAUGGGCACAUGUAUGUGUGGAGACUCUGAAAAGAUGAACACAUUACUACAGACUAUGGCUAAAGGCUAUGUUUACAAACAUAAAAUAAUGAUUCAAAGAAGAAGAGCAGACGGUGCUACGAUAUUUACCUCAAGGUGAUGAAUCAAUGAACCGAGGGACCUAUUAUUCGGGAAUCAUUGAAAAAAUGUCUUCUCAUCAAGGAUUGGACUGUGUUCUCAUUAUAGAACAUAAUUUAUUAUGUGAGGCAUUUGCCAUUGCAACAUCUUGUCUAGGGUAUAUUUUUUUCCAUUAAGCUGAACUGCCUCGCAAACAAAUUGUAUGUAAUACCCUCUUCUCCAUAAAUAAAUGACAUCUGCUUGGGCAGUAAGUCAUGCUUGGCAGAAUCGCCUCCUCCCGGUCUUCAGCUCUCCUGCAGGAAUUGAGCGCCAGUGUGGUCGAGACACAUAGAACACCAACAAGCGACAAAAACGCACCACUCCGUAAGUUAUUUUGGCUCAUGCUUCGCUAAAUUUGAAAGCGCAGACCUGCAUGUGUAUAUAACUAUAUAUACUUGUCCUCGUGGAAAUUCAAGUUGCUAUUCUUCAU